GACGAACGCUGGCGGCGUGCUUAACACAUGCAAGUCGAACGGAAAGGCCCUGCUUUUGUGGGGUGCUCGAGUGGCGAACGGGUGAGUAACACGUGAGUAACCUGCCCUUGACUUUGGGAUAACUUCAGGAAACUGGGGCUAAUACCGGAUAGGAGCUCCUGCUGCAUGGUGGGGGUUGGAAAGUUUCGGCGGUUGGGGAUGGACUCGCGGCUUAUCAGCUUGUUGGUGGGGUAGUGGCUUACCAAGGCUUUGACGGGUAGCCGGCCUGAGAGGGUGACCGGCCACAUUGGGACGGAGGUACGGCCCAGACUCCUACGGGAGGCAGCAGUGGGGAAUAUUGCACAAUGGGCGGAGGCCUGAUGCAGCAACGCCGCGUGCGGGAUGACGGCCUUCGGGUGGUAAACCGCUUUCGCCUGUGACGAAGCGUGAGUGACGGUAAUGGGUAAAGAAGCACCGGCUAACUACGU
rnacentral:rRNA from 1 species